GAUUCAUUUUAUCGUGGCUUGACAACUGAAGAAGCACAACGAGUGCAUGAACAUAACUUUGAUCAUCCUGAUGCUUUUGAUUCCGAACAGCUUGUAGAGUGCAUUGAGAAACUCAAAAGUGUCCAAUCUGUCCAGGUCCCAAUAUAUGAUUUUAAAACCAUCACAGGUGUGCAGACAAUUUCCAGUAGUGAAGAGAAACAACUUUUUCCGGGUUCAUUUAAGAUUUGUGAUCUUAAUCUUAUGGAAGAUUCUGAAGUGAAUGAGAACGUUGAUUGUGUUCGUGAUCCAAUUCUCUUUUUCCCAUCUAUUCCAGAAAGCAAAAAAAAAGCCACACCAGCGGAUGUUGAUUUGUCCAUAAGUAACAACGGCAAUAUAUAUCUGGUAAAUAUGGACCACAGCGCUGAUGGGAAGGAGGUUGAGGUGAUUGAUUUGGAAAGUGAUUCUCUGCAAGCAGACUUGGCCUUCAAUAAUUCAGAUAGGAAGAGAUUCUUGGCAAUGAUGAAUCAAUAUAUAUGUCCCUGGGAGAAAUAUCAAUAAGUAUGCCAGAAAUUUAAUUUAAUGGCGAUGAUUCCACUUAUAUGUGGUCAAGAACAUUUGGAAGGAGGUCUGGCACAUGCAAGAGAAGAAUCAGCUAAACUUGCUGAGCUUUUAAAGCACAAAGUUUGGCGAGCUCCUGAGAAGCAUAGUUCCGUGAAGAAGAAGAUAGCGAUGGCGGAUACGAAGAAGAAGAAGAGAGCAUCGAUCUACUAACGCUAGCCUCAAAGUCUGCCACUUUACAUGAACCAGGAGGGCCUUCGAGAUCCUUCACAGCUAGUAGCCUCCAAUGGGUGGUGGCGGCGACGGCGACCCACUUAUGCCUCUACUAAAAUUCCCGAACAUCGGAGCGAGGAUGGACUACCCUGACUUUCUCAAUAGCAACAACCUCAUCGGGAAACACCAAAUGGGCGUGGUCUUCUCUAAGAUCUCCUCCGCCACACACUGGAUCUGCCUCAAUGGUGUCGCCUUCCUCACCUGCACUAAUCACCACUGCCCCUUUCUCCUACUCCCAUUCUAACAAAAUCCCACUUCUGUAACAGAUCUAAAGGAAAAAAAGAGUAAUGGAGGAGAUAAAAGUGGAGGAGGAGGAUGAAGAGAUGAUGAAGAACAAAAAUGAUGAGAUUCAGAAAUAGAGAGAAAGAGAGAGGAGAAAGAACCCACCUCAAUAAUGGUGUUUUAUAUUGUACAGAUAGAUUAAUGACUAUGAUAUCAAAAUCGUGUCCUUACGGACUUAAAAGUUUAGCGUGUGGACAAUUAGACGAAACAAAUCCAAAAUUUUAUUUAUGGACGCGC